GUGUCAGCCGCCGCGGUAACACCUGCGCCCCGAGUGGGAAUCGCGUUUAUUGGGCCUAAAGCGUCCGUAGCCGGUCUCUUAAAUUUUCUGUGAAAUCGUCCAGCUUAACUGGACGGCGUGCAGAAAACACUGGGAGACUUGGAACCAGGAGGAGUCAGAAGUAUUCUGGGGGGAGCGGUAAAAUGCUAUAAUCCCCAGAGGACUACCUAUGGCGAAGGCAUCUGACCAGAAUGGAUUCGACGGUGAGGGACGAAAGCUAGGGGAGCGAUCCGGAUUAGAUACCCGAGUAGUCCUAGCCCUAAACGAUGUGAGCAAGGUGUUGCAUAUUCGUCAGGAAUAUGCAGUGUCGAAACGAAGGUGUUAAGCUCACCGCCUGGGAAGUAUGGUCGCAAGGCUGAAACUUAAAGGAAUUGGCGGGGGAGCACUACAAGGGGUGCGGCGUGCGGUUUAAUCUAACUCAACGCAGAGAACCUCACCAGCAGCGACGGCAGGAAGAAGGUCACAUUAAAGGUGUUACCUGACGAGCCGAGAGGUGGUGCAUGGCCGUCGUCAGCUCGUGCCGUAAGGUGUCCUGUUAAGUCAGGCAACGAGCGAGACCUGUACUCAUAAUUGCUAGCGGCCCUAUCAGGGGACUGAGCACAUUAUGAGGACUGCCUUGGAAACAAGGAGGAAGGUGCAGGCUACGAUAGGUCUGUAUGCCCCGAAUCUGCUGGGCUACACGCGCGCAACAAUGGUAAGGACAAUGGGAUGCAACUCCGAAAGGAGGAGCUAAUCCUCAAAACCUUAUCUUAGUACAGAUUGAGGGUUGCAACUCACCCUCAUGACGCUGGAAUCCCUAGUAAUCAGACGUCAUCAUCGUCUGGUGAAUGUGUCCCUGCUCCUUGCACACACCGCCCGUC
rnacentral:rRNA from 1 species